rnacentral:rRNA from 1 species
ACUACGGGUGGCAGCAGUGGGGAAUAUUGGUCAAUGGGCGCGAGCCUGAACCAGCCAAGUCGCGUGAGGGAAGACGGUCCUAUGGAUUGUAAACCUCUUUUGUCGGGGAGCAAAAGACGCCACGCGUGGCGUUCCGAGAGUACCCGAAGAAAAAGCAUCGGCUAACUCCGUGCCAGCGGCCGCGGUAAUACGGAGGCUGCGAGCGUUGUCGGGAAUUAUUGGGUUUAAAGGGUGCGCAGGCGGAAGAUGAAGUCAGCGGUAAAAUUGAGAGGCACAACCUCUUCGAGCCGUUGAAACUGGUUUUCUUGAGUGAGUGAGAAGUAUGCGGAAUGCGUGGUGUAGCGGUGAAAUGCAUAGAUAUCACGCAGAACUCCGAUUGCGAAGGCAGCAUACCGGCGCUCAACUGACGCUGAGGCACGAAAGCGUGGGGAUCGAACAGGAUUAGAUACCCGGGUAGUC